GACAGUUCGAGCUUCCGCUUUGGAGGGUACUGCCUGGCGCCGUCCCGUGGUGGGGACUGGAGUGCGCAUUUUCUGGUUGCCCGACGAGAAUAGAAGUAUUUAUUACACAGAGAACUUGGAAUCUAGUGUUGACAACCUGCUACUGUAUGGUGUUUGUGAUCUUUACUCCACAGAAGUUACUGGGAGGUAUUUACAUAUACCUGUUUAAAGGAAUACCUGAGGCUGGGUAAUUGAUAAAGAAAAGAGGUUUAUUUAACUUACAGUUGUGCAGCUUGCCUGAGAAGCAAGUCCCCUGCAUCUGCAUCUGGGACUUCGACUCAUCAAAGAAAGCUCUGGUCAAGAAAGGGAAGAAAAACAUGGAAUUGAUUCACUUGCCUGCCUAAACUCUCAAAGCAUCUCCGCUUUCUGACCUUUUCUAAGCCUGAUUCUCCAGCUUCCUGUUACCUCUGUGAGUUAGAUACUAGCCUGCCAAUAAAAUCCUUUUCAGGUAAAGUUAGCCAGAAUUGAUUCUUAAGACUCGCAAUCAAAGAACUUGCACUGGCAA